UACGGGGGGGGCAAGCGUUGUUCGGAAUUACUGGGCGUAAAGGGCUCGUAGGUGGCCAACUAAGUCAGACGUGAAAUCCCGUCGGCUUAACCGGGGAACUGCGUCUGAUACUGGAUGGCUUGAGUUCGGGAGAGGGAUGCGGAAUUCCAGGUGUAGCGGUGAAAUGCGUAGAUGUCUGGAGGAACACCGGUGGCGAAGGCGGCAUCCUGGACCGACACUGACGCUGAGGAGCGAAAGCCAGGGGAGCAAACAGG
rnacentral:rRNA from 1 species